CAGCAAUGGAGCAAUCUGUUGCUGCCACUGGCGCACGGGUGAGUAACGCGUAGGUAACCUGCCCUCAGCCCUGCAAUAACCCCGGGAAACUGGGGCUAAUGGCAGAUGAGGUCGGUGGGGGAAGUUCCCACCGAUCAAAGGGGCAACCCGGCUGAGGAUGGGCCUGCGUCCUAUCAGGUAGUUGGUGGGGUAACGGCCCACCAAGCCGACGACGGGUAGCUGGCCUGAGAGGGUGGUCAGCCACACCGGCACUGAGACACGGGCCGGACUCCUACGGGAGGCAGCAGUGGGGAAUCUUGCACAAUGGGCGAAGAGCCUGAUGCAGCGACGCCGCGUGCGGGAAGAAGGGGCGUAUGCCCUGUAAACCGCUGUCGGGGGGGAGGAAAGGGGGAGCAUGCUCCCCUGGGACAGUACCCCCAGAGGAAGGGCCGGCUAACUACGUGCCAGCAGCCGCGGUAAAACGUAGGGCCCGGGCGUUGUCCGGAAUCACUGGGUGUAAAGGGUGCGUAGGCGGGCGUGCGCGUCUGGGGUGAAAGGCUCCGGCUCAACCGGAGACAUGCCCUGGGUACGGCACGUCUUGGGUGCGGGAGAGGGCGAUGGAAUUCCUGGUGUAGCGGUGAAAUGCGUAGAUA
rnacentral:rRNA from 1 species